UACAGAGGUCUCAAGCGUUGUUCGGAUUCAUUGGGCGUAAAGGGUGCGUAGGUGGUGAUGCAAGUCUGGUGUGAAAUCUCGGAGCUCAACUCCGAAAUUGCACCGGAUACUGCGUGACUCGAGGACUGUAGAGGAGAUCGGAAUUCACGGUGUAGCAGUGAAAUGCGUAGAUAAUCGUGAGGAAGACCAGUUGCGAAGGGCGGGAUCUCUGGGCAGUUCCUG
rnacentral:rRNA from 1 species